rnacentral:rRNA from 1 species
CCAGGACCUAGACUACUGUCUGCUAACUAAACCAUCACUUUAAGUGCAUCUUUGGAUGUUACUCAUUGUGUAACUUUGACAUCUGGCCUCAAAUCAAGUAGGACUACCCGCUGAACUUAAGCAUAUCAAUAAGCGGAGGAAAAGAAACUAACAAGGAUUCCCCUAGUAACGGCGAGUGAAGCGGGAAGAGCUCAAAUUUGAAAUCUGGUGGCCUCAGGUCAUCCGAGUUGUAAUCUAUAGAAGUGUUUUCCGUGCUGGCUCAUGUACAAGUCCCUUGGAACAGGGCGUCAUAGAGGGUGAGAAUCCCGUCCUUGACAUGAACUACCAGUGCUCUGUGAUACAUUUUCAACGAGUCGAGUUGUUUGGGAAUGCAGCUCAAAAUGGGUGGUAAAUUCCAUCUAAAGCUAAAUAUUGGCGAGAGACCGAUAGCGAACAAGUACCGUGAGGGAAAGAUGAAAAGCACUUUGGAAAGAGAGUUAAACAGUAUGUGAAAUUGUUGAAAGGGAAACGAUUGAAGUCAGUCGUGCUCUUUGGAUUCAGCCGGUUCUGCCGGUGUACUUCCUUUGAGUGGGGUCAACAUCAGUUUUGAUCGCUGGAUAAAGGCUGGAGGAACGUAGUACCCUCGGGUAAACUUAUAGCCUCCUGUCACAUACAGUGGUUGGGACUGAGGAACGCAGCACGCCUUUAUGGCCGGGAUUCG